AAAAACACGAAGAUUAUGCUGAGUAAAAUGGAGUUACCGCCCCCCACUUUGAAAACCAGAGAUUUUUUGACAACAUGGCAACAUACAUACCUGGAUGAUAGACCUUUUUACAGCACAUGUCAGAUGGUACAAACACAGC